rnacentral:rRNA from 1 species
GUUAUAUGGUCAAGUGACUAAGCGCAUACGGUGGAUGCCUUGGCGGUAGAAGGCGAUGAAGGACGUAGUAGCCUGCGAUAAGCCUCGGGGAGCUGGCAAACAAGCUUUGAUCCGGGGAUUUCCGAAUGGGGAAACCCACCUCUUUGAGGUACCACGCAAGUGGGGCGAACCCGGGGAACUGAAACAUCUAAGUACCCGGAGGAAAAGAAAUCAACCGAGAUUCCCUGAGUAGUGGCGAGCGAAAGGGGAACAGCCUAUCUCGCAGUGAGUAGUGGAACGGUCUGGAAAGUCCGGCGAUACAGGGUGAUAGCCCCGUACACGAAACGAUCUGCAAGAGAUAUCAAGUAGGGCGGCACACGUGGAACGCUGUCUGAAGAUGGGGGGACCACCCUCCAAGGCUAAAUACUCUCUACCGACCGAUAGUGAACCAGUACCGUGAGGGAAAGGC